UACGAAGGGGGCAAGCGUUGUUCGGAAUUACUGGGCGUAAAGGGCGCGUAGGCGGCUUAUCAAGUCAGGCGUGAAAUUCCCGGGCUCAACCUGGGGGCUGCGCUUGAUACUGAUUGGCUUGAAUGCGGGAGAGGAUAGUGGGAUUCCCAGUGUAGAGGUGAAAUUCGUAGAUAUUGGGAAGAACACCGGUGGCGAAGGCGGCUAUCUGGCCCGUAAUUGACGCUGAGGCGCGAAAGCGUGGGGAGCAAACAGG
rnacentral:rRNA from 1 species